rnacentral:rRNA from 1 species
UACAGAGGGUGCGAGCGUUAAUCGGAAUUACUGGGCGUAAAGGGCGCGUAGGCGGCCUUCUAAGUCAGACGUGAAAUCCCCAGGCUUAACUUGGGAACUGCGUCUGAUACUGGGAGGCUUGAGUGCGGGAGAGGGAUGUGGAAUUCCAGGUGUAGCGGUGAAAUGCGUAGAUAUCUGGAGGAACACCGGUGGCGAAGGCGGCAUCCUGGACCGACACUGACGCUGAGGCGCGAAAGCCAGGGGAGCAAACGGG